UCUUUGAACGAAUAUAUUAAAAUCUUGUUGCAAGAUCAUUUUUCUUCAAAAGAAAUCAAAACAUUCUAGUUCGACGGGAGGAAAAAUGGCGGCGGGCAUGGAACGAUUCAUUUCCUCCUCUUCCAUAAAACGCUUCGAUUUCCUUUUCACAAUUCGAUGGAAAGAAGUGGGUGCAAAAAUUCGUUCGUGAUUAUUAAUAGUCGAUUCGAGUUAUAGUGGCAUCAACAACAAAUACCUCGAAUAUGUUCAGAAUAACGAGAGCAAUAUUUAAAGGUGGAAAAACCGGGAAUUUUCCAAGUAAGGUCCUCCGUCCAGCUAGGAAAAUCCGUCUCGAAGACCUAGGAGGAACGCGUGGAACAAGGGAAACGAGAAUAGAGACAGAGAAAAAGGGAGGAAAAAGGAAGGCGUGGGUAUGGAAGAGGGUAGUUUGGAUGCAGUAGCAAACAGGCAGAUUGGAUUCCCGACUCGAUUUACCGGAAUGCAGAAAUAACAGCUGGCGAGGUCUCCUCGAGGCCGAUCCGGCUUUGCAAUCUUCUCCUCUUUUCUUCCUUCCGCUUUUCAGACACACGAGAGAAAGCGACAUGGGGCGGACAGAAGAAGAGGAAGAAGAAUGCAGACGCCGGCUUCGAGGGACAGUUCAGUAAAGAUGAACUCAAGAAUGUUUUAUACACAGGAUGGAUUCACAUAACUGGACCAUCCUGAAUAACAUUUAAGGCAUGUGUUCUGGCAAAAAUUGUUUUCUACUGCUAUUUUUAUCGUCCCAUGGUCGAGUUUAUUAUAGAAAGAAAAUUUAAGAUUUAUUAUAGAAAAGAAAAUCUAGUGAAGAUAAAUUUGAAUG